rnacentral:rRNA from 1 species
AGUGAACGCUGGCGGUAGGCCUAACACAUGCAAGUCGAACGGCAGCACAGUAAGAGCUUGCUCUUACGGGUGGCGAGUGGCGGACGGGUGAGGAAUACAUCGGAAUCUACUUUUUCGUGGGGGAUAACGUAGGGAAACUUACGCUAAUACCGCAUACGACCUACGGGUGAAAGCAGGGGAUCUUCGGACCUUGCGCGAUUGAAUGAGCCGAUGUCGGAUUAGCUAGUUGGCGGGGUAAAGGCCCACCAAGGCGACGAUCCGUAGCUGGUCUGAGAGGAUGAGCAGGCACACUGGAAGUGAGACACGGUGCAGACGCAUACGGGAGCCAGCCGUGGGGAAUAUUGGACGAUGGGCGCAAGCUUGAUCCAGCCAUAUCGCGUGGGAGAAGAAGGCCUUCGGGUUCUACAGCCGUUUUGUCGGGAAAGAAAAGCAGCAGGUUAGUAACCCGCUGGUCUGACGCUACGCAAAGAAUAAGCACCGGCCAACUUCGUG